rnacentral:rRNA from 1 species
AGGAUAAACGCUGGCGGCGUGCAUGAGACAUGCAAGUCAAACGGACGAUCAGGGCUUGCUCUGAUCGUUAGUGGCGGACGGCUGAGUAACGCGUGGGUGACCUGCCCCGAAGUGGGGAAUAACUGCCCGAAAGGGUGGCUAAUACCGCAUGUGGUGGUGCGUUCAUUCGCACCAGUAAAGCCGCAAGGCGCUUCGGGAGGGGCCUGCGUCCGAUUAGCUCGUUGGUGGGGUAACGGCUCACCAAGGCGACGAUCGGUAGGUGGUCUGAGAGGACGAUCACCCAGACUGGGACUGAGACACGGCCCAGACUCCUACGGGAGGCAGCAGUCGGGAAUUUUGCUCAAUGGACGAAAGUCUGAAGCAGCAACGCCGCGUGAGGGAUGAAGGCCUUCGGGUUGUAAACCUCUUUUAUCAGGGACGAUAAUGACGGUACCUGAUGAAUAAGUCACGGCUAACUACGCGCCAGCAGCCGCGGU